rnacentral:tRNA from 3 species
GCGGGUGUAACUCAAUGGUAGAGUACCUGCCUUCCAAGCAGGCAACGUGGGUUCGAUUCCCAUCACCCGCU